rnacentral:rRNA from 1 species
AUUGAACGCUGGCGGCAGGCCUAACACAUGCAAGUCGAGCGAGCGGCGGACAGGUGAGUAAAGUCUGGGAAACUGCAUGAUGGAGGGGGAUAACUACUGGAGACGGUAGCUCAUACCGCAUAACAUCAGAUGUGCCCAGAUGGGAUUAGCUAGUAGGUGGGGUAACUGCUCACCUAGGCGACGAUCCCUAGCUGGUCUGAGAGGUUGACCAGCCACACUGGAACUGAGACACGGUCCAGACUCCUACGGGAGGCAGCAGUGGGGAAUAUUGCACAAUGGGCGCAAGCCUGAUGCAGCCAUGCCGCGUGUGUGAAGAAGGCCUUCGGGUUGUAAAGCACUUUCAGCGGGGAGGCGUUACCCGCAGAAGAAGCACCGGCUAACUCCGUGCCAGCAGCCGCGGUAAUAC